AACAAGGCGUACCUGCGGACCUGCGGAAGGAUCAUUACUGAACGAGUUCGUGUGCUGGCAGCACCGCCGGUGGGUAUGUACAGCGGCGGGGGACAGGCUGGUCCCCGGAGGCGGUUCGACGCUUCUCCGUCGCGUACGUACGUUCAGGCGGACAAAAUACGUGUAUCUAGCUUGCGGCGGACAGCGCUGAGCGCAGCUGAUUGGAGAGAUGGCCCUGUUGACGGUGCUGUGCGUCCCUGU
rnacentral:misc_RNA from 1 species